rnacentral:lncRNA from 13 species
CCCAGCCAACUUUGGGACCUUUGGAUAUCUGGUCCCUGCAGCCAGAAUACUACUGUCCUGCCUGUCACCUACACUUUUAAAGCUGACUUCCAGCCUGCCCUCUGAAGGAGGCUUUCCCUGACGACACUGUCCAGAUGCUUCUCCUCCACUCUUGGGUCCAACAGUACCCUGGGCUUACUUUCAUCCUCAACCCUCUGCUACUAUUGUCUCACUUCCCUUCCAGGCUGCAAGCUCCCUAAGGGCAGAACAUCUUGUCUAACUCAGAUCAUUAAAGUGGCCCUGGAGCCAGACCCACCUGGGUGUGAACUUCUGUUUCUCUGCUUGUUGGCUGUGUACUCAUAGCUAUCUCCAACCCAGGAACAAUGUGGAAAAUGAUGCUUGAGAAAGCAAGUCUGUGUGCUCCGGGCCAUGUGGAAUCAGGGUCUGAAAGAACACCAGAGCUGCUCAGACAAAUGUGUGGACCUGUUUGGCCUCUUUAUUUUCCUUCUAAGUACCAAUUACUCAUCCUGGGCCCAAAUGGUGACAUGGGAUCUCACUAUGUCGCUAUGUUGCGAGACUCCAUCUCUACAAAAUAUUUAAAAGAAAUUAGCUGGGCACAGUGGCAGCUGUGGUCCUAACUACUUGAGAGGCCAAGGCAGGAGGAUCACUUGAGCCGAGGAGUUUCAUACUAGCCUGGGAACAUAGCAAGACCCCUGUCUCUAAGAAAAAGGUAAGUGAAUUUUGCAUGGCAUGGUGGACUCAGCUGUGGUCUGGCUACUCAGGAGGCUGAGGUGAGAGGAUGGUUUGAGGCCAGGAGUUCAAGGCUGCAGUGAGCUAUGAUCCUGCCACUGCACUUCAGCCUGGGUAACAGAGUGAGAUCCUGUCUCUAAAAAUGAUUUUUUUUAAAUCCUGGUUCUGCCACCUUGCUGUGUGUCUUUGGGCAGAUUGCUUGCCCUCAGUGGGUCUCAG